UCCGCUUUACAGCGGCAGUUUGUCUCGAGUCCCCAGCACGGAUAAACCGCCUGCUGGUAACAAGACAUGAGGGUUGCGCUCGUUGCGGGACUUAACCCAACAUUUCACAACACGAGCUGACGACAGCCAUGCACCACCUGUGCUUCACCCUCGAAGGCGACCGGCUUUCACCGGCUUGCAGAAGCAUGUCAAGCCCUGGUAAGGUUCUUCGCGUUGCAUCGAAUUAAGCCACAUGCUCCACCGCUUGUGCGGGCCCCCGCCAAUUCCUUUGAGUUUCAACCUUGCGGCCGUAGUCCCCAGGCGGCUCACUUAAUGCGUUAGCUGCGGCACCGAGGAUAACUCCCCGACACCUAGUGAGCAUCGUUUAGGGCCAAGACUAC
rnacentral:misc_RNA from 1 species